ACAGAGUGAAGCAGCCCCGCGAGGGUGAGCAAACCACAGAAACGGCGUCCCAGUUCGGAUUGCAGCCUGCAACUCGGCUGCAUGAAGCCGGAAUCGCUAGUAAUCGCGGAUCAGAACGCCGCGGUGAAUACGUUCCCGGGUCUUGUACACACCGCCCGUCACACCAUGGGAGCCGGGAAUGCCCGAAGUCUGUGACCGAACCCGGAAGGGGAGGGGCAGCCGAAGGCAGGCCCGGUGACUGGGGUGAAGUCGUAACAAGGUACC
rnacentral:rRNA from 1 species